GUUAAGUUGUUCUAGGAACACAUGCUUGGCAAUAAAGAUGGCUGUUUUGACAACCGGACUUCGACUACGACACGGUGAUUGCUAAAUUCAGCAAACAUUUUGUGCCAAAAAGAAAUGUCAUGCAUGAUCAAGCCUGCCUCCACAAGCGUGUACAAAAUACAGAACAAGAGAGACGAGUAGGAGGAGACGAGAAACCUCGGUGCGGCAGGACGCAAAGAGGCAGUCACCCAAACACAGAGGUUCUGUAGACGGCGAGAACGGUUCCACCGUCAGGAUCCUGCCCCCUUUGAGAACCC
ensembl:lncRNA